AUGAACGCUGGCGGCGUGCCUAAUACAUGCACGUCGAGCGAACGGACGAGAAGCUUGCUUUUCUGAUGUUAGCGGCGGACGGGUGAGUAACACGUGGAUAACCUACCUAUAAGACUGGGAUAACUUCGGGAAACCGGAGCUAAUACCGGAUAAUAUUUUGAACCGCAUGGUUCAAAAGUGAAAGACGGUCUUGCUGUCACUUAUAGAUGGAUCCGCGCUGCAUUAGCUAGUUGGUAAGGUAACGGCUUACCAAGGCAACGAUGCAUAGCCGACCUGAGAGGGUGAUCGGCCACACGGGAACUGAGACACGGUCAAGACGCCUACGGGAGGCAGCAGUAGGGAAUCUUCCGCAAUGGGCGAAAGCCUGACGGAGCAACGCCGCGUGAGUGAUGAAGGUCUUCGGAUCGUAAAACUCUGUUAUUAGGGAAGAACAUAUGUGUAAGUAACUGUGCACAUCUUGACGGUACCUAAUCAGAAAGCCACGGCUAACUACGUG
rnacentral:rRNA from 1 species